AGUCGUUAUAUAUUAUAUACGCAAAAACAUAGUUAUGUUACUGUGGUAACGCAUAAUAUUAAUUGCAAGAGUUGAUAAAAUUCCAGGUGUAGAAAUCUUGAACAUAUCAUGCAGGAUGCGAUACAGUAUUCCAGUUUCUGUUGAAAGUUCCUGAAAAAGGUGAAAGUUAAAGUAAUGCAUUUUAACAAAUUUCAUCAAACUUCUAAUUUGCCAAAUCUUAAGAUAUUUUUUCAAUACCCCACCAGUUUUUACCGACUUAAAACACAAUAAAAUCGAAAUUAAAUAAAAAAAUCCUACCAUAUAAGUAAUGAUGGGGCGAGUCGUUAUCUAUGUGGGGCGAGUCGUUAUACAUGUGGGGCGAGUCGUUAUAAAAGUGGGGCGAGUCGUUAUAAAAAGUGGGGCAGUCGUUAUGGGGCGAGUCGUUAAGGGGGCGAGUCGUUAGUAAACCCUGUCACUAUAUGUAGUGAACCAGUCUUCGGCUUAUAGGUUACAUUACACUAAAUCAUUGUGUAUCCCUCCGUGGUCCAUUCGAAAGUAGUGCCUAUUUCUAAAGAGUUCCUUUUCUCUUCUUGAAUAUAAGCCAUUUAACAAUGUGAGACAUGACUUUUGUGGUUAUUUGUAAUAUCCUGUAUGUGUCUGGAGUACUUUGAUGCCUUGGAUUGGAAGCUAACUUAAAAGAUGAACUUUUGAGGGUGUGUUUUCUAUUGUGUGGGGCUUUUGUCGAAAUUAGGAUUCCGAAACACGUUUUUCUACGGUGGGUUCAUUCGACAGCGAUUUACUUUCUUAGAAGUUGCGAGACGGUAUGUUUUUGAUUGCAAUUAUUGGAAGAUGACAGAUCCAUCUUUAAAAUGAUACCAGGUUCGGAAAAAUUGAUACGUCGGAAAGGCAAGAAAAAUGCUGUGAAAGUUGUCAGUUUUAUAAUGGGACCCUAUGGGAAUCGGAAUUAGUGUAAUAUAACCUUUAAAAAGCACAUUUACUGCAAUGUCAAGGUCACAUGGAUUCGUCUGCAAGCGAGACAAGUAGAAAAUGAAUUUUAAUGAAUGUUUUGAUGAUUUGGGUGCUAAAAUAGAUGAGAGGUGUCAAUAUUUUGGUCCAAAUGGAUGUUUUAGGUGGUUUUAGACGGUUCCGGAUGGGUGGGGGACCUGGUAUGGACAAGUAAGGGUAACAUUUCCAACAAAUCUUAAAUGUAAAUAUUAUUAUGUCCAUAGAUUGAAGUUUCAGGUGGAGAGCAAGAUGAAAAAUAUGCAAAAUUACAUGCAUGCAACCCAUUUAUGCCAUUUUUCUCUUUGUUUGUAGGCCUGACCGUUUGUCCUUGAGCCGUAGAUGGUCAACAAUCCGCUAGCUGUCUUGCUCUGACUGGUGCACUGGACAUGAUUUCAAUAGUCAGCCAGACCAUGAUUGAGCUUAAGGAUUGUGCUGCGGAUGCAGCCUGUGCAGUUCCGGGAGAAAGUCACUGUCUCGGGCAAUGCGGUCUGGUAUCAGGUCUGGAUGAUCCUUGCCUGACUGCGGGUUUGUGUACACCUCAAUCCGACUCUGUGUCCUGAACAGAGGCCGCAGUGGUGCAGCGCUUGUGGACGAUCCAUCAACAUCCUGAAAGGUCAACACUACACCAAGCUGGGAAAAUUGAUCCUGAUAGUCAUCCCCAGGUAGUGGAAUGAAUGUUCACUGAACUACAGAGGAAUCACACCCAUAUGACUUUCCUGCCACGACAUUAGUGUGGCCACUCGCGUAGGAAUUCCUUAGCAAACAUGCUCUUUUGCAUGGUGACUGUGGACAUUUUUGCAAAACUUACGCUUUCAACACUGGAUUUUAAAGAGAAUACUUAAUAAAAUGUCGCUAACAGGACUUAUUUAUAUGAGAGAGACUAUCUGGAUGCGCAUUAAGUGUCACUUUGUGUCGUAAGCUGUUGAAGGAGCGAUUUGCGCCUUUUUAAGUGUUAAUUUUGGGUAGCCGGCUUGUAUCAGCUUGAAAGCUGAAAAUUAUGCCUCUCAUCAUAAUAGCAUUAAUUUUUGUAAUUGCAAUGUGUAUGUUUAGAUUGUAAGU